rnacentral:lncRNA from 1 species
ACAGGUUUGCUGUUUAAAGAUUUCCUUUGGCUCUCAGCAGAUAAGAGGCCAAUAUACUCAAACUCUUAUCUACUGCAGUGAAUACAUUAAGUGGCAUUGAUAAGGUUGGAAAUGUGGCAUAGGCAUAUUGAGUCUAAUGGCUUGUUAAGUGCAUGUGUCAGCUUCUUCUUUCUGAAAACUUCAGGAAGAACUGCAUGCUCCUGAUAAAUUUAUUUAAAUUGCCACCCUUGACACACAAACAGAAUAGAAUACCUUAAUUAGAGUAAGAAAGUUGUUCACUUUCCUGCGUCACUAAUGGAGAUUGACAGAGGACUUACUUAGAGAGUUAUAAAUAGAAUUUAGGCUGCUGUGAGGAAAAGAGAAACCAAAAUGAUACCAGCUGUACCAGGAGAAGAACUGAAGAGGCAUCCAAGGAUGUUUUCCUAGUCAUCAAUUCCCAGGUCUUCACUAUUUUUAGGGGCUGACAGUUUUAUAAAUAAGUCAGCAAGGGCUUUUCCACCUUACCUUAAUCUGCUAUGAGUUGCUGGUUUGAGCUCAAGUGGUGACAAUUCAAAGAAGAACAUUCAUGGGGCUAUGUUUUCAACAGAACUGGUGAAACCAUAUCCACACAGGCUAUGGAAGCAGACUCAGCAGACUUGCUGUUCAAAAGACCAUUCCUAAGGAUUUUUAAGAAUUUUUUUUCUGUUGAAAAAAAAAAAACCUGUAUUUCCAAUCUCAUCUGCAUGUACUGCCACAACAUACUGGAUGUAAAUAAAUUUAAAGAGAUUGUGGACGGUAAGGUCUUGUGGAAGGAUCUACUUCAUGUGAUUCAGUAAAGAGAGGACAUGAAGCUGCAGCUUCCCUACCCUAAAUGAAGCUGCAGCCUAAAUGAAGCCACAGCGACCAUCUUUGCAAAGGGCACACAGUGUCCAUUACUGCAGGCCAUGGCUGUGGAGGCCACCACAGCAGGCGGCAAUGGAUGAUGGCAGCACCAGAUAGUGGCAGAGGCUAAGGUAGGGAGAGGAAGGAGGCAGGGGAUAGGCUGUGGGCAUGGGUGGCUGUGGGCGUGGGUGGCUGCCUAUUGGCCUGUUGAUUGGCAGGCCCAUAGGCAGAAUGGGAAAGCCAUAGGAAGAGAGGGAAGGCUGGCCUUCCAGAAGACCCAGCCAACAUACCAAUGAGUGGGAAUUCUGAGAGUUGCAAUCCAGAAUCAUCUGGGGAAUCAUACAUGGGAAACACAAUCUUGAAGGAUGACGUUUUACAGCUGGGAAUGCUCAUAAGCGGAGACAUACAAGUCUUCUGUGGCACACAGCAUUCGGGAGUUCUUAAGUUUACCUUAAA